rnacentral:rRNA from 1 species
AUUGAACGCUGGCGGCAGGCCUAACACAUGCAAGUCGGACGGUAGCACAGAGGAGCUUGCUCUUCGGGUGACGAGUGGCGGACGGGUGAGUAAUGUCUGGGAAACUGCCCGAUGGAGGGGGAUAACUACUGGAAACGGUAGCUAAUACCGCAUAACGUCGCAAGACCAAAGUGGGGGACCUUCGGGCCUCACACCAUCGGAUGUGCCCAGAUGGGAUUAGCUGGUAGGCGGGGUAACGGCCCACCUAGGCGACGAUCCCUAGCUGGUCUGGAGGGAUGACCAGCCACACUGGAACUGAGACACGGUCCAGACUCCGACGGGCGGCAGCAGUGGGGAAUAUUGCACAAUGGGCGCAAGCCUGAUGCAGCCAUCCCGCGUGUAUGAAGAAGGCCUUCGGGUUGUAAAGUACUUUCAGCGGGGAGGAAGGUGCUGAGGUUAAUAAGCUCAGCAAUUGACGUUACCCGCAGAGGAAGCACCGGCUAACUCCGUGCCAGCAGCCGCCGUAA